rnacentral:lncRNA from 1 species
CUUCUCUAUACUAGUUCGUGUAGCAUAUUUAUAUAUGCUUUCAAGAGUUGCAAACUUUUAUUUUUGGAAAACAAGUAUAUGAUUCGAUGUUCAAUCUUUUGGUGUAUGAUCGUGAAUAAGCAAAUUGACCAAAAGAGGAAGAAUAAAGGCAAUAAAGAUUGCUCUAUAUAUACACAAUCUUACAACACCCCCAUACCAAAAUACAUACAUUUCUAGCAUUCACUUAUCAUCCUUGAGGAGAAUGAGGUUAAAAGUUAAAACUAAAACCAGUGCAUACCAAAGUGGCUGCGCCAAAGAAGCAAGAAAGCAGCAGGAGGUGAUGACCAAAUUACUCAAUAGCUCAGGAAAUUGGCCUUCUGCCAAUGGAACUUGUUACUCUUCUCAACUACAAUCAGUCGGGAAAUUAUUUGAGACAAUUACAUUUCAGCUUGAAAGGGUGUCGCCUGCUCAAGAAACUGUUCACAAAUAGACUUCGAAAAUCUGCAACGAGAAACGAAAACCAAUUAUUACAAGUAUUUUGGUUUUGAUAGGCAGUAACUCAAGGCAUUUUACAUUUUGCAGAAGGAAAAUUGCUCCUUUAACAACCAAACUGCCAGCACAAAUGUAGUUUAGAGCACGGAAAGGAAAAUGGAGAAUAAAGGUAAACAUUACCUCUUCUUGACCAGAAGCACUUAUUACUGAAGAAUAUACUGAAUAGAGUUUAUCGCAUUCUGCUGUUGUUUAAUUGAUGGUUUCGGGGCAAGAGGACUGCAAAUGAGCAUAUUGGAACUUAGUCCAGCAGUAUCUUAAAAUUGACUAGUCGAAAAUGCCAAAGCAAUAGCUACUAAGACCAUGGCUUUAAACCAUAAAAGUACCUUCAGAGAUGCAGCAAAAGCUUUCUGGGGGGAAGAUCGUCGCUGGGUCUGCUCUAUUCUGGCAAGAAACGGCAAAAGCCAGGCAGUUUUUACUGUACAAAACAGAACCAAACAAUAGAUUAUUUUGGAGCCCGGCAGAGUUGACAGUUUCAAAGGGUACACGAUCUAUGCCUUUUGCUAAAAUACAUAUCACCGAGAUGACUGUGAUGCUCUAUAUAUAUAACAAUUGAAAUAUAUAUACCUUGACCAUGAAGGAAUAAAUUUCCUAUUUGGUAUGACAUUGUCAUCAUCGUCAUUUUCAUCAUCUGAUUCUUUGUAUGGAGAGAUGUCAUAAGACUGCUCUUGACCUGUAAUGCCAAUUGAUCUCCAUUUCUUUGUCUAAAUCGCUCGGUACCUUAAAUCUCACAGGAAGUAUCAGCACAAGGCUUUACAGAGAAGGUAAAAGAGCACAAAAGUAUGCAGCUAUUCAUGCAUAAGAAAGCGUUCUACCAGUGGUUCAGAUUUGAGUUUACAAUAAGCUGAUAGGAGUUUUAACAUAAGAGAACUCUUGCACUUAGUCGAUUGUAGCCUUUUUUCCUAUAUUGUGGUAACGAUAGCCAAAAGGAAGGCCUCAAAAGAGUUAAAACCCAACAAGUUUAAAGGUCCCAUGCAAACUACAUCAACAGAGGAUUAUAAUUCAUGAUAUGCUCACAGUUUAUCACUCUGCUCCAGACUAUGCAAGUAAAAGCACUCAACAUGCAAGUAGAUCCUAACAUAUGGUGGGUAUCGAUUGUUAAAAAGUCACCACCAUUUACCUCUGCUUUAUACCCAUAAUUACUUGCCUCAUGGAACUCUUCGUGGACAAUACUUUCUCUUCCGGCGUUGCUUAUUGAAAUCCUGGAAGUACAAGGCUCAGUCUCCGAAAUAUUUCUGGAAUUGUCAAAUCCCCUUUCUGCCUCCAUUUUCUUAUUUGCCAUUUCAUCCUUAGAUUUCUUACCGCCAGGGCCUCUUCCAUCCUACACAAGAAAGCACAAUGUAGAAUGUGAUACCUAACAUUGCAAAAAGAAAAAGAUAUAAUGAAAUGAGGCAGAGCAUAAAGAAUCAUACAAUGGCCUGGCUUUUCAUUUCAUUCUCUACUUUUUCAGCAGGUAACUUGUAUUCAUGUUCUCUCUGCUGUCUACGGGCUUCAACACGCAUUCUUUUUCUUUCCGUCUCCUUCCUUUCUUCCCCUUCCCUUUGUCUCUUCUUUGAUCCCGUAUCAGCUUCUUUUUUCUUCCUCUCUUCUUUUUUUUUUUUUUUUUUUUUCUGCAGCUCCAACUGCUUCAUUUUCUCCUGCUCCAUUCUUGUCCUUUUCCUGGUUGGCAUCUCUCUUUUAGCAUAAGACACCCACAGAUGCGAAGCUGACUAAGUGAAGAAGGCAGACCCUCCUCUGGAAUGGAUGCUAGCUUUGGACAUCUAGAGAGUUGCAGAGAUUGAAGGGAGGUGAGGAAUUGAAAGCCCUUCCACAUCAAAGGCCAAGUUCCUGAGAUUGUCGAGCCAGAACAUAAGGAACCUAUUAGGGAACUUAAUAGGUUCCUUAUGUUUAUUCUCAUGAAAAGUGGGAACGACAAGGAAAUUCUGUGUUCAGAUGACCACUUAUGUCCGCGUCCGUACCAUGAUCAGCAUCUCGUCCUCAUUAAUAUCGUCCAUCAAGUAUUCAGUAAAACCCAACCAUCAAUUCCGACAGAUUCAUUCCUAUCACUGCCGUCUUGUCUUAAGUGGAUGUGGUCCUAAAAUUAGUUUUUCACCAUCAGUUUCUUUCUGAUGAUCAAUGACUGUUGCCUGCUACUCCUCCACCUCCAGUUUCCUGCUGCGGGGUUCCGAGGCCUCCAUUGGUGUAAGAAAUUUAUAUAUGUUCCAAGAGUUGCAAGCUUUAAUUUUUGGAAAAGAAGUAUAUGAUUCGUUGUUCAAUCUUUUGGUGUAUGAUCGUGAAUAAGCAAAUUGACCGAAAGAGGAAAAAUAAUGGCAAUAAAUUGCUAUAUAUCCAUAAUCUUACAACACCUCCAUACCAAAAUACAUACUUUUCUAGCCUUCUCUUAUCAUCCUUCAGGAGAAUGAGGCUAAAAGUAAAACUGAAACCAAUGCCGACCAAAGUGGCGGCGCCAAAGAAAAAUCAAGGCAGCAGGAGAUGCUGACCAAAUUACUCAAUAGCUCAUGCAAUUGCCCUUCUGCCAAUGGAACUUGUUACUCUUCUUAACUACAAUCACACUGCAAAUUAUCUGAGAUAAGUUACAACAGACUCCUAUAUAUAAAAAAUUAAAAAAUUAAAAAAAAAAGUUCUAGACGUUUCAGCUACAUUUCGGCUUGGAAGGGUGUUGCCUGCUCAAGAAACUGUUCACAAAUAGACUUUGAAAAUCUGCAACGAGAAAUAAAAACCAAUUACUACAAGUAUUUUGGUUUGAUAGGCAGUAACUAAAGGCAUUUUACAUUUCGCAGAAGGAAAAUUGCUCCUUUAACAACCAAACUGGCAGCGUAAAUGUAGUUUAGAGCAUGGAGAGGAAAAAUGAGAAUAAUCAAUAAAGGUAAACAUUACCUCUUCAUGAUCAAAAGCUCUUAUUACUGAGGAAUAUACUGAAUAGAGUUUAGCACAUUCCGCUGUUGUUUAAUUGAUGCUUUUCGGGCAAGAGGACUGCAAAUGAGCAUAUUGGAACUUAGUCCAGCAGUAUCUAAAAAUUGACCAGCCAAAAUGCCAAUGCAAUAGCUACGAAGAUCGGGACUUUAAACCAUAAAAGUACCUUCAGAGAUGCAGCAAAAGCUUUCUGGGGGGGGGGGGGGGGGGGCGAAUAUCGUCUUUGGAUCUGCUCUAUUCUGGCUAGAAACGGCAAAAGCCAGGCAGUUUUUACUGCACAAAACAAGAACCAAACAACAGAUAUUUUAUAGCGCAGCUGAGUUGACACUUUCAAAGGGUACACAAUCUAUGCCUUUCGCUAAAGAUACAUAUCACCAAGAUGAUUGUGACGCUCUUUAACUUGAAAAUCAUAUUUCAUAUAUAACAAUUGAAAAACAUACCUUAACCAUGAAGGAAUAAAUUUACUAUUUGGUAUGACAUUAUCGUCAUCGUCAUUUUCAUCAUCAGAUUCUUUGUAUGCAGAGAUGUCAUAAUACUGCACUUGACUUGUAAUGCCAAGUGAAUUCUCCAUUUCUCUGUCUAAAUUGCUAGGUACCUUAAAUAUCAGGAAGUAUCAGCGAGAGGCUUUACAGACAAGGUAAAAGUGCACAACAGCAUGCAGCUAUUCAUGAAUAAGAAACUUUCUAAAGGUGGUUCAGACUUGAGUUUACGAUAAGCUAUUAGGAGUUUUAAAAGAAGAGAACUCUUGCACUUAGGCGAGUGUAGCCCUAUUUCCUGGUAUAAAGAAGGCCUCAAAAUAGGUUCAACCCAACAAAUUUAGAGGUCGUAUGCAAACUUCAACAACAGAGGAUUAUAAUUCAUGCUAUGCUCACAGUUUAUCACUCUGCUCCUGCCUAUGCAAGUAAAAGCACUCAACAUAUGCAACUAGAUCCUAAGAUAUGGCGGGUAUCGAUUGUUAAAAAGUCAUUAGCAUUUACCUCUGCUUUAUAUCCAUAACUACUCGAGGCCUCAUGGAACUUUUCGUGGAUAAUAUUUUCUCUUCCGGCAUUGCUUAUUGAAAUCCUUGAAGUACUAGGCUCAGUCUCCAAACUAUUUCUGGAAUUGUCAAAUCCCCUUUCUUUGUCCAUUUUAAAUUUCUUACCGCCAGGGCUUCUUCCAUCCUAUACAAGAAAGCCCAAUAUAGAAUGUGAAAUCUAACAUUUUAAAAUAUAUAUGAAAUGAGGCAGAGCAUAAAGAAUCAUACAGUGGAGUGGUUUUUCAUUUCUUUCUCUAGUUUUUCAGCAGGUAACUUGUCUUCAUGUUCUCUCCGCUGUCUACGAGCUUCAACAUGCAUUCUUUUUCUUUCCUUCUCCUUCCUUUCUUCCUAUUCCCUUUGUCUCUUCUUUGAUGCCAUAUCAGCCUCUUUUUUCUUCCUCUCUUCUUCUUUCCUUUUUUCCGCAGCUCCAACUGCUUCAUAUUCUCCUGCUCCAUUCUUGACCGCUCAAGUUUCAGACCAUCCUCUAAUUGCUUGACAGCACCAUUCAUGGUCCUCAUAUCCACACCCUCUAGAAGCCCAGUUGGAAGAGACUGGUAGAGAUGUGGAAAAUUAUGCAACUUAUAUGGUCCUCAUAUCCACACCCUCUUGACCUUCCAAAAAACGCCUGACCAAUAUCAUAAAGUUUCUUUCUCGAGCAACUAUGACUAUCCUCACUCGUCAAAGCUAUUUCCCUUUCCAGCAAUGCUAGUUGGUUCAUCAUCUGUUUGCAAAACGAACCCGUCAAGCUCAGGCUUUUGUAUCACCAGAACCAAUCAAAUCCAAGGAUUGGCCAUGUGGAGAUCCAAAUGGUCCCUUCAAGAUCAAACGAUUUCAUGCAUUUUUUUUCCCACCUCACCAGAUUCCCAGUUUUUCCAGUCCUCUGCCCCCAGGCCAGGAAAUCAUAUUCAAAUUCAACAAAACUAUCCUGCUCACUCAACUCGAUCUGAGAUCCCAUGGGCUCCAAAUAAACUAGUGUUGCGAGGAACGCGAGAGAAGAAACCUUGGCCCAGAAAUAGAGAAUGGGAUCGAAUCAACUAUCAGCUUCAAAUCGGCUGUCAAUCUAUCUGUAUUUUAGGGAUGUGGGAUAUUUUGUGCCAGUAGCGUCCUUUUCCUGGUUGGCAUCUCUCUUUUAGCAUUGGACACUCAGAGAUGGUAAGUCGCUCUAGUGAAGGAGGCAGACCCUCCUCUGGAAUGGAUGCUAGCUUUGGACAAUUCCAGAGAUGCAGAGAUUGAAGGGAGGUGAGGAAUUGAAAGCCCUUACUGCUCAGUUUCUUCAGAUUCGGGAAGCCUUUUAUUGUGAGGUGAGUAAGAGAUUUGGGAAUGAGCGUCUCCAUCCGGACCAUGUCGGGUGGAAACGACACCGUAUCUAGGUCUUCACCUCCGAUCCACAAGUAUCUAAGAGAGGUGAGUCUGUGCAACCCCCACUCCAACUCCCACAAUGACUUACAGCUCUUUACCUUCCAAAUUUCAAGAAACGUGAGGUUGGGAGGAAAGGUCAAACCUUCACGGUACUCGAUCCUCAAUUCCUCAAGAGAGUUAAGAUUGUGCAUGUCUUCAGGCAACGCCUCCAAUUUCUCGCAACUGGUGAUCUGGAUCUCUCUCAGGUUGGAGGGUAGUCUCCCCCCACUCAGUCUUGGGAAAGAAACAAGACUUCCACAAUCUUGAAUAUAUAGCUUUCUCAGAUUGCUGAGGUGGCAUAAGCCAUCCGGUAAGGAUUUCAGAUUUUGGCACUUCCAGAGAUUAAUGUAUUCAAGACAAUAAUUAGUGUUGUCGUGGAAGAACCCGUCCUCUGCGAUUAGCUCCAGUUGUUCACAACCAAGUAUCUCAAGGUGUUUAAGUGUCCUGAGAAGCUGGCCACUCAAUGAUAACGACGUCAGAGAUUCACAUCCUUCGAUCUUCAAGUACUCAAGACAAAUAUGAGAAGAAGACGACCAAGAAGAACCAACAGCCUCCUCAUCCACUAGUGAUUUCAAACUUUUGCACUUUCUUAUCUCUAUUCUUUUGAGAUUUUGGGGAAUCUGGAAUUUUGCAAAAUAUAUCAACGAAUGGCACUCUCUAAUCUCGACGUUUUCAAGAGAAGGUGGCAGACCUACAUCUGGGAAAGAAACUAGACGUGAACAUUCGUGUAUGCGAAGCUCUUGAAGAGACGACAGCUGAUUUAAUCCUUUUGGUAGCUUCAAAAGAUUUUCGCACUUUUUUAACUUUAGAUAUUCAAGCCUGCCCUCCAAUAUUUGCAACUCCUCUGCUUCUUUUCCCAAUUCUUCAACUAGACGAUAGUUGUCUUCAAUUUCCAAACUAUUAAGAGAAGUCAACUGCUGCAAUAAUCUACCCUCAUUCUUCAAUGAAGACGUCACCUCCUCACAUCCAUUAAUCAUCAAAUCACUAACCUUGGUUAAUCCCUUCUUGAACAAUUCCCCUGUUUCCAGAUACAUCACCUCCGAAAUGUUUGAAAGCCACAAGGACUCUAAUAACUCAAACUCAACCUUACCAGCUGUAUGCACCAACACUUUACAACCGUCAAUGUUUAACUGACGAAGUUGUUUGUAGUUGGCAAUUGAAACCACUAAUUCUUCACAUUUAACAAUUUCAAGCUUCGCUAAAGAAUUGAGGUUCUCUGGCAGCUUACCCUCCAGUUUAGAACAUUUUGUUAUUGACAUCCUUUUCAGGCAAGGGAAAGCACCACUUUCGUGAUCCAGUAAGAAAGGAAGCCAUUCCUUCCAAUGCUGCAAUUCCACAAAAUCAAGAGUCUCUAAUACCCGAAAAGGCAAGUUACGCUCUCCAUAAAACUCAGCACCAACCCUUUCCACUGCAUUCAUUCCCCUAAUAUAAAGUUCUUUGAGUUGAGGCAAUUGUUCGAGAGGUGGCAACGACAAACAAUUGUUACAUUCCUCUAAGCGCACAAGCCCCAUAUUAGAGAACAAAUGACCUCCAACCCAUGAUGAAAAUUUCUUCCCGGCAUAACUCUUGAUGGUGAGCUCCUUGAUCUCUCUAUGAGGCUCUAACAUGUCAAGCACAGUAGAUUCCAUUUCUCUUGUGUCGCUUGAAUGUGACCAUUUUAGGACCAACGAAUCAAGCCUCACCUUGUAUUUUAAGUUGGCCCACUGAGCAUCCUCGACAUCAGUCACAUUCUCCAAUCUUGAGAUGCACAAUGUCCCUUGGAGAUGCGAUAGGGGCCCUAUCUCUCUUAUUCCUGAUUGAUCACUUCCAGCACUGACCACAAAAUUAGGCAAAGAUUGGAGAUUCACCAAUCUACCUAGUUUUGGAGGCAUUCCUUCCAACGAAGACACAUCUGAGUUGUUGAGAUGGCGUAAAUUAGCUAGAUUACUCAUGUCUGCAGGCAAUGACUUCAAAUCUGAACAGCCUUCCAAUAUCAAUGUCUGCAGGUUGUAAAGAGUACUUGUCGAUUUAGGCAAACUAGUUAUAGCUGUGUAGGAAAGGUCAAGAUACCGUAGAUAUCUCAAAUCACCAAUUGAGUUUGGCAGCUCAGUUAUUCUAUAGCCAUUAAAAGAGAGCACCCGCAAGUAUUGCAAUUUUGGCAAUAAAUCAAAGGUAACCUGACGACCUAAAUAAUUGUAGGGAGAACCCUUUCUCAGUGGCAAGAAGGUUCGCAAACAUUUCACUUCAGAAAUUGCCUCAAAUCUUUUAACCACCUCAUACUCACCCAUAAGGUAAGACGAAUGGCGUGCCUUCGAAAAACAUAUAGGUUGUACACCAUCAUUAUUUUGCUUAUCCUCCAAUCUAAAACAAAACAUCUCCAGCUGCCCAUCGUGCUAAAUCACCAAUGAGGUCAUGCAUCACAUAUUUUGAAGUAUUUUUGGUUGACUUUUGAAACAAUGACCUAGAUACGAGCUCCCGAAAAUAAUCAGCACCUAAAUCUUCAAUUUGCUUAUUAUCUUCUGGUUGAUGAUGAAUCAAACCCUCGGCCAUCCACAGAAGGAUCAUUUGCAUCUCCCCGAAUUCAUAGUCAUUUGGAAGUAUUGAGCAAUAGGCAAAGCAUCUUUUCAAAUGUGAAGGAAGAUAAAAGUAACUUAGUCUCAGCACGCGAAGUAUGUCAUGCUCCUUUGACAGACUCCACAACUUGUUGCUCAAUGUUUCUUCCCAAUCAUUUAUUUCUUUACAAAGUAGAACGCCACCGAGGGUCCUCGCGGCCAAAGGCGAUCCCCUACACCUUGCAACAAUUUUCUUCCUAAGUAACUCGUAGUUUGGUGGUCUGUCGUUAGCAUUCAAGAAUGCAUGCUGCUCAAAUACUUGCAAACAAACAUCAUCCUCCAUAGGCUUCAGAUUGUGAACCAGCAUAGCAGCUCCCAUCAUUUUUGAAACAUCUUUAUCACGUGUUGUCACAAUUAUCUUGCUUCCAUGUGCUCCAUCUAUAAACGGGGACUGCAGCUUCUUCCAGUCACCGUGGCUACACGUUUUCCAAACAUCGUCUAAAACAAUUAAAAACUUCUUCCCUGCUAACUUCUUAUGCAGAUCAUUUUGAACCUUAUUGUAAUCUUUUGUGGUACAUUGCUGGGAUGUGAUUGAUUCAAGAAUUUGCUUUGUCACUCUUUCAAGGUUGAAGUCGUCAGACACGCACACCCAAACGGCUGGUUGAAACAUUUGGGUUGCAACCAUAUCUUUGAGUACUUGUCCAGCAAGUGUUGUCUUUCCGACUCCAGGCAUACCGACAAUUGCAACAACAUAGAAAUUGGCAGCCCGAUGCUCCUGUUUCAACAGAAGCUCAACAAUCUUCCUUUUGUCCUCCUCCCUUCCAAUCACAGGUCCAUCUGGUAGACUAGAACUAGGCGAUAUGAGUUGGCGUGCCCUUUUAGUCAACGUCCCAGUAUCAAUUUUCAAACCAAGCUGGUCUUUUCUUUCGGAUAUCACUUGUAAUCGCUUGGUAAUCUUCUGUAUUUCCGAGUUCAUUUUGAAGUUGGAAACACGAUUAGGAAUUGAUUUCCAUGCUUUGCUUGUUGUUUUGAAGUUGGAAACGCGAUUAGGAAUUGAUUUCCAUGCUUUGCUUGUUGUGCUGGAAUGAGCAUGUUGUAUCAGACGUUUCAACAUUUUAGUAUGACAUUUAUCCAACACGUCUUCCGCAUCAAAAGCCAAGUCCCUGAGAUUAUCGAGCCAGAGCUUCAGUGCGGUGCUCUCAGCCAUCAGCUGCCUUUCCUCCGCGUCAUUCAGAACCGCUUCAAUUGCAGACAAGGUGUCACUCCAUUUCUUCAGAUUUUUAUCAAUGCCCUUUACGCGUCCAAAGUACCUGAUGACCUCGCGAUCUGCCAACUUGCAAAUCAACACUCGGAGAAAUGCCCCAAGAAAAGCAUCUGCGGCCAUAGUUUCUUGAACUGGAAGUCUGAUCCGUGGAGCAAUACCAAUUAAGAUUCACAAGUAGUCACAGCUGCACAAUUAAAACAGAUGAAACUAAUUAUUGGUAUGUUCAAUUAGUUCAGUUACAUGGUAUGUUCAAUUACGUUUUACUUAAAAUUGCUUAAGUUGAAAGACAGAACACGAAAGAUAAAUUCGAAACUACAAAAUAAUAUAUUUGUUACAUUUAAAAUAACAUUAUUAAUUUAGAACGUGACACGUUCCACAACUUGAAACACAUUACAUUAUUAAUUAAUAAGACCAGAUGCGUAGUGAGAACUUACGUGGAAACAGAUCGUCAGAUCAAGAGAACACUUGCUUCCCGGGAUCAAGUUUUAGUUGAAGUUGAAAACUUUAGCGCAGUUAAGGCUGAGUGGUUUCCUGGACGCUUGAGCUGUUGAGCUUAAAACUGCACAAACUGUUGAACAUUAAACCACAUAAAUAUAUAUAUAGCUACAAAGCCUGCAAUUAAGAUGAAGAAAAUGAAAUAAUUAAAUAAAUAAUGGAUUUCCCAUAUAAUUAUAAAUGGAAGAAGAACUUACUGCAUUAAUUGAAGUUUUUAGAUGAUCAUGAAGAUGGAGAGACUUGAUUCCAUCUGAUCUGAUCUGAUCUCGUACUGGGGUCAAAGAUUCCAAACGACAAAGAUUUCAGAGCUUUCAAUAGUUCAAUGUGCUAUGAUAAAUCCUCCUCUUUGUUUUCUCUCUCUCUUCGUUGCCGCGGGGCAUAAUUUUGUCUUCUACUUUUUCCUGUGUAAUAAAAAACUUAUGUCCUGAGCGCACAGCACAAAGCACAAAGCACAAGAAACAGCACAUGGUAGAAAAGUUAAAAAGCUAUAAUGCUUUGUAACAUAGAUUACAUUAUUUUGCUUUGUGAGUAAUCAGUUCAGUUUUUUCAUUUUUUGUAUGCUAUUGUAGUUAAUGUAAAAAUGGUCGCGAUCUGGUAUGGAUUGGGUUUUAGCUUUAAUCAUGGGCUUUUUUUUUUUUUUUAAGUCAAUUGAUUUGAAACCCCCUGAAUUUUAAUUAAUUCUACUAGAAGUGUUUUUAUUGUUUUUAUUUUAAGAAAUUUUCUUCAAUACUACGACCUAUGAGCAUUGAAUUUUUUUUAUUUUUUUUAUUUUUUUAUUAUUAUUUUUUAUGGAAGAAGAGAAAGAAUUUAAGUUUGAUCCGCUGACCAAUACCAAUCAAGGCUCACAAGUAGUCACAGCUGCACAAUUUAAGCAAAUGAAACUAAUUAUAUGGAUGCACCGGAGCUCAAUCGGAUAUGUCAAAAAUUAUAUAUUGUUUACAUAUUUAAGAAACACUAUUAAUUUAGGACACGACAAGUUACACAACUUGAAACUCGGAUGGAUAUAAGACCGAAUGUGUAGCAAGAACUUACAUGAAAGUCGUCGGAUCACGAGGACACUUGCUUCCGAGGAUCAGUUGAAGACUUGAAGUUGAGAACUUUAGUGCAAUUAAGAUUUAAGUAGUUCCAUGGAAGCUUGAGGCUCGAGCUUAUGACUGCACAUGGUGUUGAACAUUAAAUCAUAUAUAUAUAGCUGCAAUUAAGAAGAAGAAAAUGAAAUAAUUAAUGAAUAAAUAAUGGAUUUCCCAUAUUGAUAUAGUUGGAAGAACUUACAGUAUCAAUUGAAGUUUUCGGAUGACCAAGAAGAUGAAGGGACGCGUUUCCAUCGAUGUGAUCGCUUAUGAAAAUCAUCAAAUUCAGAUUCCAGAUGACAAAGAUUUUAGAGCUCUUUCAAUAAUUCAAUUUGCCAUGAUAAGUACUCUUGUGACCAGAAAGAAAGUGAUCGCUUAUUAAAAUCAACAAAUCCAGAUUCCAGAUGACAAAGACUUUAUAGCUCUUUCAGUAAUUCAAUUGGUCAUGAUAAGUCCUCUUGUGACCAGAAAGAAAGUGUUGCUUUCCUCUUUAUUGUUCUCUCUUUACUGUCGUGGGGUCAUAAUGUUUAUGUUAUAAAAAAAAGGUAAUCGGGACUAAAUUUGUAAAUAAGAUUUACAAGCUAAAUAAUGUAGCAUUAAUAAGGAUAAGCACUUUUAUCAAAUAAUAGUCCAAUUAUUAAUACGGAGAAUGAAGAGAGGGGCCAGAAUGAAGAAGAAGGGGAUAUUUUUGUUUUUUUAAAUACUUUUUCAAAAUUAAAAAAAUAAUAUUUAAUAUAGAAGUUACUUAGUCAUUUAGUAUUGUGGUCUAGUGGUAUUCCUCUUCACUGGUAAGUGAAAGGUUUUAGGUUUGAUUAUAUCCAAAUGUGAAUUUGAACCAUAUUAUUACAAAUCUAUUGUGAGGCGAGGCUAAGUUCAUCAUUUUCUUUAAUGUAGAUAAUAUCAAUUGUUCAAAAUAUAUAUAUAAGUUAAUUAGAGUUGGAUCAAAAGACACAUGACAGAAUUUAAGAUGUAUAAUGAAUGUAGAUCAUAAUUUAUAGUAAUGAGCAAAUUAAAAUGUACUAUUUAUCGUGAGCCAAGGACAAGAAAAGAAAGCAAAGUUGAUAAUUUGGCAGAGACCAAGAAACGCAUGGCAAUUGGUAAACGGACAAGGAUUCUCUCCUUUUUUUUUCCAUAUAUUUCCAUCAUUUCCUAUUUGUGUGGUCAUAAUUAAGUAAUGUCAAUAUUUUAUAUUGAUUUUUUUAUAGAGAUAAUAAGACAAAAAGACUUAGCUCAAUCGUGACCACACAAACAGAAGGAUGAUGGAAAUAUAUGGGAAAAAAGGAGAAGAGAAUCCUUGUCCUUGGUAAACACCCCCAGGGCUCUUUAUCCUACCUACCGACCCCAGAUUUUACCAAAGUUACUACCAUGCGGAUUGCUUCAGCUUUACCAUCGUUUAGUCACAAGGGCUGUAACUAAUCUCCACAGGUUACUUGCCAUAUCCUGAAUAGAUGUUUAAGAAAUGAAAAUUGAGCAAGAUUUUCACGAUGGAGUGUAAUAUCACAAAUUGUGGGUUAUCUUGGGAUGAGGUUUUUCUUUUCAAACUAUUAUGUUUUGGGUCUAAAUUCUUCUCUUUUCUCAUAAUUUAGAUGAAUUUAGUGUAUAUUAUCUAUCGUUUGUCAUUUUGUUUUGGUAGAAUCUUGGUGGUAUAAGGAAACUUUAUUGAAAUGAAAAAAAAAAUUACACUUAAUGAGAGAAUGACAUAAAUUUUACUCAUCUUGAUGACGAAAAUACACGAAAAAAUGACAUAUGACCAAAUGCCUCCAAAACAAAACUUAAAAGGUAAGAAACUACAAAACAAACCAAUUUUUUAAAAGAAUUAGGUUUGCGAUUGUGUCAGUAUUCCACCAACAACAUAUGCUAGAAAAGUUGCAAUUCCAGUAUCCCCACGACAAUCCACGAACAAGAAAAGUUAGAACGUUAUAUUCUUUCUACGAGAAUCACUUAUCUAGUUCACCAUUGAGUUAAUAUUUCAAGUAAAUAACAUAAUAACGCCUGAAGAGAAACUUAACAUCAAAGAAAAAAAAAUUUAGAAAAGCUUUAUGUUUUGAAUGAUUCAUUCAUUUACUUAGUCUAAUAUAUAACGGCCAUGAAAAUUUUCCAUAAAACAAGUACAACAUUGAUGUGAUAUCACAUUCCUCGAAUAAUACAAGGGCAAUUAGUCAUAAGACUCAUAGUGGACAACUUUUGACAAAUUGUGGCACUUUUGAUUCACUUUUUAAAACUGCUGUUCAAUCAAUUUUAUAUGUGAAGGUUCAUGCCCUUCAUUAAUCAGAAAAAGAGAGAGGAGGGGGGAGGUGGGAUUGCAGGAACCACCUAACAAAACACACGAAGGUCAAAGAAACAAACUUGAUCAUUUGGCAGAUCAGGAAAACGCAUGGCAACUGUUAUUAUCUUUUGAAUGACUUUCAUGUGUACAAUUUAAAAUGUAUAAAACACAAAGAAUUUUCAUAAAACGAGUAUACUAUAACUUUUUUUUUUGAACGAACGAGUAUACUAUAAACGAGUAUAAUUUAGUCAGCACGUUUUGACAAAUUAUUACACUUUUGAUCACACAUUUUAAAAAUUGCUCUUUUAAUCAAUUUUAUCUUUGAAAUGUGAAUAUUGUCCAUCUUUAAUCAGAGAGCAUCAUUAAUCAGAGAGGGGGUGAAAUAUGAGCUUACUCAAUUGACAAUUUUUGAACUCUGAGCUUACCCAAUUGGGAAUUUGUCAACUUUGAGCUUACCCGGUUGGUGAUUUGCAUCAGAAAGUUUUCAGACUAUGCAUCCAGAUUCCAGACGACAAAGACUUAAUUUAGAGCUCUUCAAUAAUUCAAUUUGCCAUGAUAAGUCCUCCUCUUUGUGACCAGAAAGAAAGCUGUACUUUCCACUUUUUUCUCUAUCUUCAUUGUCAUGGGGUCAUAAUUUUUUGCCUUUUGCUUUUAUUUUUUCUCUAUCUUCAUUGUCAUGGGGUCAUAAUUUUUUGCCUUUUGCUUUUAUUUUUUCUCUAUCUGGUUUGGAUUGGUUUCUAGGAGUGCUUUUGUUGUUUUAAUUAUAAGAAAACUUUUUACAAGACAAUUUUUGAACUCUGAGCUUACCCAAUUGGGAAUUUGUCAACUUUCAGCUUAUCCAGUUGGUGAUUUGCAUCAGAAAGUUUUCAGUUGAAGUUGAAAACUUUAGUGCAAUUAACAAAGUGUUGAACAUGAAACCAUAUAUAUAUAUAUAUAGCUGCAAUUAAGAUGAAGCAAAUGAAAUAAAUAACGAAUAAAUAAUGGAUUUCCCAUAUAGAUAUAGUUGGACGAAGAACUUACUGCAUCAAUUGAAGUUUUCAGAUGAUCAUGAAGAUGAAGGGACUUGUUUCCAUUGAACUCAUCUGAUCGCUUAUGAGUUAUGAAAGUCAACGGAUCCAGAACCCAGAUGACAAAGACUUUAGAACUCUUCAAUAAUUCAAUUUGCUAUGAUAAUUCCUUUUUUUUUUCUUUCUUUUCAUUGUCGUGGGGUCAUGAUAUUUGUCUUUUACCUUUUCUUUAUCUUUUAUAUUUGUUUUUUCUUAUACGAGCUUCAGCUUCAGCUUCAUCCUGCCGGCACUAGAUAUUACCAAAGUUACCACCAUGCGGACUGCUUCAGCUUUACCAUCGUUUAGUCACAAGGGCUGUGACUAAUCUCCACGCUUUACUUACCAUAUCCUGAAUAGAUGUUUAAGGAAUGAAAAUUGAGCAGGAUUUUUCAUGACGGAGUGAAAUAUCACAAAUUGUGGGUUAUCUUGAGAUACAAGGUUUUUCUCUUCCAACUAUUGUGUUUUGGGUCUAAAUUCUUCUCCGUUUUUCAUAAUUUAGAUGAAUUUAGGGUAGAUUAUCUAUCAUUUGUCAUUUUGUUCUAGUAGAACCUCGGUGGUACAAGGAAAUUUUAUUGAUAUUUAAAAAAAAGUUGCAACUAAUGAGAGAAUGACAUAAACUUUACUCAUCUUGAUAAAGAAAACACACACAACAAAAAGUGCAUAAGACCAAACGCCUCUAAAACAAAACCUAAAAGAUAAGAAGCUACAAAACAAACAAAAUUUAAAAGAAUUAGGUUUGCGAUUGUGACAUAAACUUUACUCAUUUUGAUAAAGAAAAUACACAACAAAAAGGACAUAAGGCCAAACGCCUUUAAAACAAAACCUAAAAGAUAAGAAGCUACAAACAAAGUUUAAAAGAAUUAGGUUUGCGAUUGUGACAUAAACUUUACUCAUCUUGAUAAAGAAAAUACACAACAAAAAGGACAUAAGACCAAACGCCUCUAAAACAAAACCUAAAAGAUAAGAAGCUACCAAACGAAAGUUUAAAAGAAUUAGGUUUGCGAUUGUGUCAGUAUUCCACCAACAACACAUGCAAGAAAAGUUGCAAUUCCGGUAUCCCCACGACAAUCCACGAACAAGAAAAGUUAGAAAGUUGUAUUCUUUCUACAAGAAUCACUUAUCUAGUUCACUAUUGAGUUAAUAUUUCAAAUAAAUAACAGAGAAACUUAACAUCAAAGAAAAAAAAAAUUAGAAAAACUUUAUGUUUUGAAUGAUUCAUUCAUUUGUCUUGUCUAAAAUAUAACGGUCAUGAAGAAUUUCCAUAAAACGAGUACACCAUUGAUGUGAUAUAUCACAUUGCUCGAAUAAGACAAGGGCGAUUAGUCACAAACUCACAGUGGACAACUUCUGACAAAUUGUGGCACUUUUGAUUUCACUUUUUAAAACUGCUGUUUAAUCAAUUUUAUAUGCGAAGGUUCAUGCCCUUCAUAUAUUAAAUCAGAAAAAGGGGGCAAAAUUGCAGGAACUACUUAACAAAACACAAAGGACAAGAAAACAAACUUGAUCAUUUGGGAGACCAGGAAAACGCAUGGCAACUGUUAUUAUGUUUUGAAUGACUUUCAUGUGUACAGUCUAAAAUGUAACCGAUGCGAAGAAUUUUCAUAGAGCUAGUACAUUGUCGUUCUGAUAUGACAUUGGUUGAAUAAUACAAGGAUAAUUAAUCACAAUAGGCACAUUUUGACAAAUCAUUACACUUUUGAUCACACAUUUUAAAAAUUGCUAUGUUAAGUGAAUAUUGUAAUAUGAACUUACUCAAUUGACAAUUUGUGAACUUUGAGCUUACCCAAUUGGGAAUUUGUCAACUUUUGAGCUUACCCAGUUGGUGAUUUGUAUCAGAAAGUUUUCAGACUAUGCAUCAGGGCUGUGAUAUGUGCUGUUUUUUUUCAGAAAGCGUCCUCUUGGACAUCUUCCAUCCGAUACGGAUACAAGGCCCUAUACUAGUUGGUGUAGCAAAUUUGUGGUGGGGAUUGAAACUAUCAUUCCGCUAAUGUCUCGCUCAAGUUUUGCGUUUAAACAUCGCGUUACAUCGAAUUAUUCAUGAAUUUUUUUGUUUUUUUGUUUUUUUUAACAAACCAUAGAAUAAUUUAUACUAAAUUCAACUUGGGUGCAAAAAAGUGAGCACACCGCUCUAAUCAACUUAACUCAAAUCAAGUAUGCGGCUUUAUAGGUGCAAUUUUGUAUUCUAACCUCAUAUGGACUUCUCUAUACUAGUUCGUGUAGCAAAUUUAUAUAUGCUUUCAAGAGUUGCAAAGUUUUAUUUUUGGAAAACAAGUAUAUGAUUCAAUGUUCAACCUUUUGGUGUAUGAUCGUGAAUAAGCAAAUUGACCAAAAGAGGAAGAAUAAAGGCAAUAAAGAUUGCUUUAUAUAUACAUAAUCUUACAACACCCCCAUACCAAAACACAUACAUUUCUAGCAUUCACUUAUCAUCCUUGAGGAGAAUGAGGUUAAAAGUUAAAUUAAAACCAGUGCA